rnacentral:rRNA from 1 species
UACGGAGGGGACUAGCGUUGUUCGGAAUUACUGGGCGUAAAGCGCACGUAGGCGGAUUUGUAAGUCAGGGGUGAAAUCCCGAGGCUCAACCUCGGAACUGCCUUUGAUACUGCAAAUCUCGAGUCCGGAAGAGGUGAGUGGAAUUCCUAGUGUAGAGGUGAAAUUCGUAGAUAUUAGGAAGAACACCAGUGGCGAAGGCGGACUCACUGGUCCGGUACGUA